rnacentral:rRNA from 1 species
GACGGAAGGUGCAAGCGUUGCUCGGAAUCAUUGGGCGUAAAGGGUGCGUAGGCGGCGCGGUAAGUCGGGUGUGAAAUCUCGGGGCUUAACUCCGAAACUGCAUUCGAUACUGCCGUGCUUGAGGACUGGAGAGGAGACUGGAAUUUACGGUGUAGCGGUGAAAUGCGUAGAUAUCGUAAGGAAGACCAGUGGCGAAGGCGGGUCUCUGGACAGUUCCUGACGCUGAGGCACGAAGGUCAGGGGAGCAAACGGG